CUAUUGCGAGAGAUUUUCUUGCCUGGCGUCAUUCAGCAGACAACUUGCUACAUCUUGUUGUGUGAGCAUGCGCCGCUCAAAACUCAUGUUGCAUGCAAGAGACACGAACAAUCUUGUAGAAUCCUUUUCUGGAACCUUCUUUUAAAGGGGGCACUUUGCUUUGUCUUGUUAACUGCGAUUUUCCGGAAUAUCAUCGGUGACUUUGUAAAGUGAAUAAUAACAAGGAACUCUGAUAGAAACCCACGUGAGCAUGUCUUCCAGAUCCUUGAUAGCGGGCUUGACACGCUUAAAACUGUUGGGUUAAAAGUAACUCAAAUUGGGUGAAACGGCUAACCCGGCGCCGGGUCCAAAAGCGACGAUGCCAACGCUGGGUUAUUUAUCCCCGGUGCAUUGAGUUGAGGAUGUAACCCAACACGCUGGGUCGAGAUUUUGAUCCGGCAGUGGGUAAAAUCUACCCAUACUGAUAAGAUAGAGCGACCAAGAAAUGAAUUACCAGGUUACCAGUGAUUAUAAAAAUAAUACAAAUUUUCACACACACGUUUAUUGCUGUCAGGGGUCACCUCAACAAGUCACUUGCAUGAUAAUGCCCAUCCUGUCAGAAGUCGGACCACCCAAGCAAGUCAUCAGUGGUGUUAAAGAAAAGCUGCAAGGCACAUGAACGAGAGUCUCAUGACUGUGUGACAUGUGACUGAAUGUCGUGAGCACACUCAGAUUGAUUUAAAAAAAAAUGUUUUGGUUGUUGUUGCUUGGACUCCUUUCCCAAACAAAAGUGGUUCUUGUCUUUUCAGAGGAGAGCCUAUUUGUUUUAUUACUCCACGUAAUUGCUGUCACGGGUACGAGAUGCUGAGCCCGAACGUCUGGGUGUCAGCGCAUUAGGAAUGUAUGCCGAAAAGAAUGUGUUUGAGGGAAAUAAUCUUAGAUUAGCUCAUACAUGCCAAACUUGAAGAACAAAAAAAAAAAAAAACAAAAGGCCUGAAAGCGCAAGAUGUUUUCUUUUGCUCUCUUAUGCAAUUUCAUUAAGUUUCGGCAUUGAAAACAAAUAUUUUAUUCACAGAUUUCUUAUAUUAUGUCAGGCAUGGAUAGAAAAGGCCUCCUCUUAAAUAAACGCAAGGAGAAUCAAUCAAACACCCCCUGGCCAUUCUUUGAGGAAAUGUUCAUGUAUGUCAUUAGUGUGUUUGUGUCAAGGCCAAACCGGGGAGUGUUUUCGAUUGUUGUGGGUUGGAGAAGGUCCUCCAUCUAAUGAGUACCAUUUUUGAAAAUUUCUCUCAAAGACAUUCUUGACAUUUUUAGACUAUAUACGAAUGUUUGUUCACGAUAACAGAAUCUCUGACGAUUGGAAACCAGAAAUAAGCGUGAAUUAUUGUGUGUGGAAUAAUCCAAUCUGCCUGGUGUCUGUGCAUAAUUAACACAGAAACAACUUUAUUGACACCGUUUUUUUUUUCUUGUAAUUUUUGCUGCGUUUGCAUGGCUGACAUGAUUACACAGAGGCUUCGGGACACUUAUCAAAUAUGCGUGAAUAUGAAUCCCACAAUCAUAUUGCAGAUGGGGCGUACCCUGCCUGUAACUUCUGUGGGAUUCAUUAUUACAUGACAUUUUCAAAGUCAUCAAUGUCUGCUAGUGUUGUUUUGACCAAAACAUUUGUGUAUAUAUAAAUGUCUUAUACUCUAUGAUCAACAUGUGCCUGCAGUCAUGUCA